rnacentral:rRNA from 1 species
CAGCAGCCGCGGUAAUACAGAGGAUGCAAGCGUUAUCCGGAAUGAUUGGGCGUAAAGCGUCUGUAGGUGGCUUUUCAAGUCCGCCGCCAAAUCCCAGGGCUCAACCCUGGACAGGCGGUGGAAACUACCAAGCUGGAGUACGGUAGGGGCAGAGGGAAUUUCCAGUGGAGCGGUGAAAUGCGUUGAGAUCGAAAAGAACACCAACAGCGAAAGCACUCUGCUGGGACGACACUGACACUAAGAGACGAAAGCUAGGGGAGCAAAUGGGAUUAGAUACCCCCGUAGUCCCUGUCUCUUAUAC